rnacentral:rRNA from 1 species
UUUUAAAUUAUAAAAAAUAAUUAUAUUUACCUAAGUAUUAUGAGAGUAUAAUUAUUAUGAAAAUAAUUCUUUUUAAAACUUAAAAGGUUUGGCGGUUUUACAUAUCCAAUUAGGGGAGUUUGUUAAUUAAUUUGAUAAUCCUCAAUUUAGACUUACUUUUUUUUGAUAUAUAUACAGUUUGUAUAUUGCUGUCAUUAGUUUAUAUUUUAAAAAUAAUUAAAGGACUAUGAAAUUAUUUGGUUUUUAUGUCAAGUCAUAAUGCAGCUUAUAGAAAAGAUUUAGUGAACUACUAUAAUUAAUUUUAUUAAAUUCCGGAUUUUAAAAAUUAUUUUUAUUAGAAAGGUGGACUUAAUAGUAAAAUGUAAUUAGUAUGUAUUAUUGAAUAUUGGUUUUGUAAGGUG